GCCCUUGUCGUUCAACGGAUAGGACAGAGGUUUCCUAAACCUUAAAUCGAGGUUCGACUCCUCGCGAGGGCA
rnacentral:tRNA from 1 species